CUCUCUCAUAUUGCCUAUUCAAUUUGCUUUCAGGUGUUGAAGAGUGAAAUAAGCGUUUGUCAGCUUCAGAGGUAUGGCUAUUGUAUGUUCAGAGCACUAUCAAGUCUUCAUAAACAGGGUGUAAUCCACAGGGAUGUCAAACCUGGAAACUUCCUCUUCUCUCGUAAGGCCAGUAAAGGUUACCUGAUCGAUUUCAACCUGGCAAUGGACUUACAUCAGAAAUAUGGAAACACUGGUGAGU